rnacentral:misc_RNA from 1 species
UAGAAAUGCAAGACUCAGGCCAAAUUAGAAAAGUUAUGAACCACCAAGGAAGAACACUUGAUGAGUUUAUAAAUCCAAACUCAUACUACUAUCACCUCACAGAUUUCCAUAUAUGCAAAAAUCAUAUGGUUAGCACAAUUUGAUUGAAAAAGAGCCCCAAUUAUAUUAAGUAGAACCAUGGAACAUUAUCUAGUCAAUCAUCAAUUCUCAAUAACCAUG